CUUCAGUGUUUCUCAGUUGGUGCUGGAGGUUCUCAGGUGCGCUGGAUGGCAGGUGCGACCUAUCUGCUGAUUGCACGGAGGAGUACUUAGGCGGGAGGCUGCCAGCACUUGAAAGCCAGAGUGUUUACCUUAGUGGUUUUUACCUGAGGCUUUGUUUACUUUGCUGAGACCCGACUUCGUUCCAGAGGUUCUCUGACCAAUCUGGAUAAUCAUCUACUGAGUAUUGGAUCUGCCUUCUUGUGGAUUUCUCUCCCAACUGUUUGUACUUUUCAGACACGGACCAAGCUGGCGGCUUCCCACUUCCUUCAACUCCGGGACCAAGGCAUAAGUGUACCCUGUUCCACCCUCCAUCACAAGCAUCGGCACCUGUGUUUCACCUGGUUUGCACCAAACCAGCACCUGAGAAGACAACUGAGCAACCUCACUUCGCAAGCUAAGACUCUGAAUCUCUCUACCCCUCGUGGUUCAAGCAACACCAAUUUAUUGGUGUUUCCAGUUUUCGUCCCUGAUUACUUUGCUGACAAUAAAAACACG